rnacentral:rRNA from 1 species
GAUGAACGCUAGCGACAGGCUUAACACAUGCAAGUCGAACGGAGUGCCUUUGAAAGAGGAUUCGUCCAAUUGAUAAGGUUACUUAGUGGCGGACGGGUGAGUAACGCGUGAGGAACCUGCCUUGGAGUGGGGAAUAACACAGUGAAAAUUGUGCUAAUACCGCAUAAUGCAACGGAAUCGCAUGACUCUGUUGCCAAAGAUUUAUCGCUCUGAGAUGGCCUCGCGUCUGAUUAGCUAGUUGGCGGGGUAACGGCCCACCAAGGCGACGAUCAGUAGCCGGACUGAGAGGUUGGCCGGCCACAUUGGGACUGAGACACGGCCCAG